UACGGAAGGCAGCAGUGGGGAAUAUUGCACAAUGGGCGCAAGCCUGAUGCAGCCAUGCCGCGUGUAUGAAAAAGGCCUUCGGGUUGUAAAGUACUUUCAGUCGUGAGGAAGGUGUUAAGGUUAAUAACCUUAGCAAUUGACGUUAGCGACAGAAGAAGCACCGGCUAACUCCGUGCCAGCAGCCGCGGUAAUACGGAGGGUGCGAGCGUUAAUCGGAAUUACUGGGCGUAAAGGGCACGCAGGCGGUUAAUUAAGUUGGAUGUGAAAUCCCCGGGCUUAACCUGGGAAUGGCAUUCAAGACUGGUUAGCUAGAGUCUUGUAGAGGGGGUAGAAUUCCAUGUGUAGCGGUGAAAUGCGUAGAGAUGUGGAGGAUACCGGUGGCGAAGGCGGCCCCUGGCAAAGACUGACGCUCAUGUGCGAAAGCGUGGGGAGCAAAC
rnacentral:rRNA from 1 species